UACAGAGGUCUCAAGCGUUGUUCGGAUUCAUUGGGCGUAAAGGGUGCGUAGGUGGCGCCGUAAGUCGGGUGUGAAAUUUCGGAGCUUAACUCCGAAACUGCAUUCGAUACUGCGGUGCUUGAGGACUGGAGAGGAGACUGGAAUUCAUGGUGUAGCAGUGAAAUGCGUAGAGAUCAUGAGGAAGACCAGUGGCGAAGGCGGGUCUCUGGACAGUUCCUGACACUGAGGCACGAAGGCCAGGGGAGUAAACGGG
rnacentral:rRNA from 1 species